ACAGAGCCCGAUGCGGGAUUCAAACUCACGAACCGCGAGAUCGUGACCCCAGCGGAAGUUGGAUGCUUAACUGGCUGAACCGCCCAGGCGCCCCUGUUGUGUGGAAUGCUCUUAAACUUGAAGCGUGACGUUUAUGUUUCCGCUACAUUAUUUUUUUAUUGUGGCAAAAUGUGCAUAACAUAAAGCGGACCGUGUUAGCCGUUUUUGAGUGUGCACUUCGGUGGCAAGAAGUGAAUACGUUGUGGUGCAACCGUCACCUCCAGAAAUGUUCACCUUCCCGAACCGAAACUCUACCCCUUAAACGCUGACUCCCCACCCCUCCCGCCUGCAGCCCAUAGUGACCCCCGCUUUCUGUCUUUAUGAAUUCAACUACUCUGGACCUCAGAGGGCUCCCUUGUGUCUGGCUUGCCCCAGCACAGUGACUUCCAGAGCUCAUGCACGCGGUACGCGUCUCAAGGUGUCAUUCCCCUCAUGGCCGAAUAGCGUUUCAUUGUACGGACCACGCUGUGUUUAUCCGUCGUUCGGCGGUGGACAUUGGGGUGGUUUUCACGCUGGUAUUUUUAAGGCUCCGGAGUGAUACUCAUGACCCAUCAGGGAUGAAAAUCGAGGUCUUAGACCAGUGGUUCUUAAGGCUGGCUGAGCAUCCAAAUCACCUGGUAGCUGUUAAAAAAACAAGCCAAUGCCUGGUGAGCAUCACAGACCUGCAGACCAGCUGAAUUGGAUUCUCUGGAGGGGGACCCCGGAGUCUGCAAGAAUCUGCAGUUACUUCCAGAAGGCCAGGGUGUGAAGACUCAUUUCCAGGUCUCUGCUGCCCCCUGGUGGCAGCACCUGGGAUCGUCUGCAGCACUGGCUUGCCCGCCCGUAAGGAGUCCAAAAGAGCCAGUCCCCAGAGCCAUUCCUUGGGGGGUCUGGGGAACCUGCGGGGCUCUCCCUGCCUGUCCUCCCCCACUGUACUUCCUGGUUUCAGAUGAGCCUAUUAGGAGAAGGCACAGACAGGCGGAGGACUCCGCUUUGCUCCUUGCCAGCUAUCUGACCUUGAACAAGCCAUUUACUUGUUUCAGGGACGUGACCACUGCUCUCCUCCCGCCCCCCCACCCCCACCCCAUCAAGUCCCUGAGAUCACAGUUAAGUAUGUGUGUUAGCUUUGGGGAGAACCUAGAAUUUCUUAGCCUUGGCUCCGUUGACAAUUGGGUAGGAUUAUUCCUCAUGGUGGGGCCAUCCUGUGUAUCGUAGGGUAUUAAACAGCAUCCCUGGCCUCAACCCACUAGAUGCCAAUGAAACCCCCCAGUUUUGACGAUCAACACUGUUUCCAGACAUGAAGAAAUGUCCCCUGGGGGGAGGGUUGCCAGACAAAAUGCAGGUUUCCCAGUUAGAUUUGAAUUUCAGAGAAGCGACUCACAACUUUUUGGUAGAAUUCUGCCCUAAAGAUUGCAUUUUUACUUGCUAAAUCCAGAAACCCUGCGAAACCACCUCAGUUGAGAGCCGCUGCCCUGUGAGUUCCUGAUACUUGGGUAGGAGGCUAAGAUACCAGAUGGAGAAGAGGCAGCAGGAAUGCACUGGCCCAGCCUGGCCGGGGAGGGGUGCUGUCUGGGGGCAGGCCCGGCAAUGAUGACUGAGACUUCUGGUGACAUCAGCCCUUCUCCUUGGGAAGCUGGUUCAGUGGGGCUGUCAAUCAUAGUCACCAACCCUGCCCUGCCCUGCCAGACACUGGAGUCAAGCAAGGAGCAGCCACUGCACCCUGUUGCCCAGUCACUGGGUUGAUGAGUGAGACAACCCUGAAGAAGGGAGGCGUCUCAAGGAAGAAAAACAUGGGGGCGAUUCUGCCGCAACAUGAUGUCACAAGAUAAAGGAUAGGACCUCAUGGCCGCUCGAAAACUCAACAGCAGAGAGAAUGCCAGGACCCUAAAUGAACCCCUACUAACCCUAAGUGAGUCAGAGAAAGUCUCCACCGAUGACUCCCCAGGACCGUGCGGCCACCAACGGAGCCAGCCUGCUGGCCAAAAGAAGGUACAAAGCGCUUUCAGGCCUGCCCAGUGUCUCCUGGCGGAUAAGUGUGGCCCUUACUCCCCCAGAUGCCAUGAGGCCACGUGGGGGGUGACGGCCCCGAGCUGCUCGCGGUCUGGCUACCCGCAGAAAAACCCCAACUCCCAAGAAACGCCUGGGCCGGAAGCGGAAGCGCGGGUGCGUGCGUGCUGCAUUCUGGGAAGUGUAGUCCACAGAGGCCGGAAGAGUCCGUGAGAGCCGUGCGUUUGGGGGAAGGUAGUCCUCUAGUGGUCUGAGAGCCGGGGCGGGAGCCGGAGUGGUUCACCUAAACCCCACGCCGUGGCGGGGGUUAACAGUUUGGGGACUUAGAGUGAAUACGUAGAAUUUGUUUUUGUCUCUCCCAACCACCAACACCCACGGAAGCGGAGAAUAGGACCUAUCCACGCUUCAGUGGUGGCAAGCAGGCCUGAGUUAUUCCGCCCUCGAACGAGUAAAUCAGCUGCGUAACCUCCCGGAACCUUUGUUUCCGUAUCUGUAAAACGGGCAGAUUAAUCAUUCUCACUUGGCAUCCUUGAUAACUCAAUCAAGUAACUAGCAAGGUGCUUAACACACCUUCCUUGCUUGACAAACCCCUCUUCCCUUUGAACCUGAGCGUGCAGAGCAAAUGGAUGUGUUUUGUAACCAGGAGCAAAAAGUGUGCUUCAGCGGAGCACUUGGGGCGUUUUCUUUGCAAAGUAGGAGUUCCUGCAAAUUCCAGCCAAAACUCAUAGGGGGAAAUAUAAGGAAAUCUUGUCACGCAGAGACUCAGCAAGGACGUGUGACCUUACUAGCCAACACACAGUAAGAUCGUUGAAACUUUCAAAGUAAACAGUAGGCAGCAAAAAGAACGAGAAAGCUUCAUAUGCACUGAUGGGGGAAAAGCUUCAAGAAAUGGGAUCUUGCAAAGUGUACUCUUUGGCUCUCGGUGGACGUGGACGGUGUGAAGGUGGAGGUACUUACAAUAUUUGAAAAGGGGGAGUGGGGAGCAGAGAUGGACCGCCAAGGUCUGGAGAGGGUGAGGUGCCCAGGGGACACCCUAAAAGGAAAGGUUCCGGAGGCACCAGAUUUAAGGAGGCCCUCACUCUGGACGUCCCACUCGGGUCCCAGCCCUGUUGACUGCUUCUUGAUGACAGAACAGAAAAUCUGUGACAGCCCUUGCACUGGUGGGCUAGUCGUCACUGGUGGGUGACGGAUGUUUCUUCAGAGCUAGACUCAAGAUGGUGUUGGCAGACCGAGGCCGCAACGGGGGCCAAGGCAGCAGAGUCAGGGCUCGGCUCCCCAGGCAGUGCCCCAGACCCCUCGUGCUGUGCUGUGUUGCGUGUUGAAGGAUUAGACGACGCCAUGGAGGGCAGACGUCUGGACAGAUGGGACUCAACUGUUCUUGUCCUUGAGUUCUUUCUGACUCUCUCUCCGUGUGUGGAGCUGCGUGGCUAAGGGUUUUCUCUGCACGUACCCUGUGCCCAGCCUCCACCUGCUACCGGCCGCAGGUCUGGGCUCCUAGAGAAGGAGGUCCCCCGAGGGCCCCGGGGCCUCAGAGAUUGCCUUGACCUCACAGAAGCUGCAGCUUCUCAAUCUUUCCUGCACCCGGGCACUGCAUUUUGGCAUUCCGCAGCUCACGCCUCUUGAGUUCAUACCACAACCUUUAGAGGUAAGGACUGUGUUAUCCCCAUGCUGCAGAUGAGGAAACCAGGGCCCAGAGAGGGGUAGCAACCUGUCCCUGACCACAGAGCUAAACAGCAGCAGAGUAGGGAUUUGAACUCCCAACUCCAGAGGCACGUUCUUCACCAUGAUGCCCCGCUCCUCCAUUUUCAAGGACCACGAGCCUGCUGAGUGCUGGCCGCUAGGUUGGGGGUUCCCACUGUCCCCUGGACCUCGGGGGCCCCCAAGGCUGGAGGCCCGGAGGCCCUCUGAAUUCUAGAGUGUUUUCAGGACAUCACUGGGGGGGGGGGUUAAAGGAGGUUGCGGUCUUAACUUCCCGGGGUGGGAGGUUCCCAGAAGCCCAGGGCAAGCUCGGCCCCUUUUUCCUGAGGGGAGGGGGUGGUGUGAGUUGGGACACGUCCUCUUUUAAGGUUCUCUCUUGCUGCUUCUGACCACUUCCUCUUUUCCCUGGGGCGGAGGCAGGCUGUGGGUGCACUCAUGGCAGGCAUCCCAGCAGUGGCCCAGUGGCCGAGGAGGCCUCUCAGUCUCUCCUGGAAGGGCUUGCUUGGCUGGGUUGAGGGCACUUCUCCGCCUGGGCUUCCAUCCCCUCCCCACUGCCGCCAAGACCCUCCCCUGAGUCCCACCCAGAGAGCAGAGGGUGGGGGGCUCCCUGAGCUCUCCCUCAGCCAGACGGCUGCACACCCUCCAUUCAGGCUCCACCUGGGCUGAAUCUGCUUCCAGCAAUUUCCAUGGAGGACGUGGCCCAAGUUCAGGAACCCUGCCUGGACAGCCACACCCCUCAGGAUGCUCAGGGAGGUGAGGACCCCAGUUCUGGGUAGAAGGCCCAGCCUAGCACCUCAACCAUGAGUGCCCCAUGUGGGCAGGGGAGCUGUGGCCUGGGAAGAAGAUGGGCAUUGAGAAAUGUGGGUUCCAGGCCUGGCUCUGCCACUUGUUGGCUGCUGUGCUUACCGGGUUGCUUUUCUUGGGCCUCAGUUUCCUCAUCCAUGCACUGGACAUAAAUAACACUGCGAAAGGUUGAAGAAACAAAUGCAGUGCUACAUGUAUCGUGCUAAGCAGAGAGCCUGGUACACGUCCAGGAUUUAGUGUCUUGCGUGUUACUGGGCAGAAACUGCAGCUGCCCUGAGCCAUCCAGGAUGCACUCCCCCUCCCUCCAGCCCCUGCAGAGGAAGGCCGGUCACAGGUCACAGCUCCCCAACCCUGUUUCCUGCCUCCACCCUGUCUCCACUCCUUUCUGCCCCAGUAGCCCCCAGCUUCCCACUUGUAGCAGGUACAGCCCUCAAGUUCAGGUGGACAGGACCAUCACCUUUCCUCUGUAGCCUGUAGCCUCCCCACCCCAUCUAGCCAGGUUGGUAAAACAUCGACGUCAGUCAUCGUUGGGAUGUGCCCAGCCGAGUGUUGUGCCAAAGCCUUGGGUCAUCGUUUCUUUUUAUUGUGGUGAAAUACGCAGAACAUGAAUUGAGCCACCUGUAACGAUUUUUAAGGGUAUGGUUCCAUGGCAUGAAGUAUAUUCACACUGCUGUAGAAACGUCGCCACCACCCAUCUCCAGAACUUUCUCGUCUUCCCAAACUGAAACCGUGUCCCCGGUAAACCAUGGCUCCCCAUGCCUGCCCCCAGCUGCUGCAACCCUUGUUCCACUCUCUGUCUCUAGAAUCAGACUGCCCUCCCUGCCUCUUAUAAGUGGAAUCAUGCAGUAAUUGUCUCUGCGUGACUGGUUUGUUUUCGAUUAGCACGGCGUCCUCAAGGUUCACCCGUGUGGGGGCACGGGGCAGAAUCUCCAUCCUUUUUAUUUAUGUUUGAAUAAUAUUCCAGCCUAUGUCUAGACCCCAUUUUGCUUGUCCACGUAUCCAUCGGUGGACACUUGGGUUGCUUCCGCCUCCUGGCUGCUGUGAAUAAUGUUGCUCCGCACGGGGGUGUGCAAAUACCUGUUUGAGUCCCUGCUUUCGGUUCUUGGGGGCGCAUACCUAGAAGUGGAAUUUCUAGAUCAUAUGGUAAUUAUGUUUGAUUUUUUUUUUUUUUUUUGAGGAAAUGCCCAAUGCCCAAAGGCACUGGGGAACCCCUCUGGCCAUACUGUGUACAGGGAGAUGGGAAAUGAGGAGCAAGACAUCAUAGGUUCAAAUCCUGGUCCUGCCACUUCCCAAUGCUGUGACCUUGGGCGACUCACUUCAUUGUCUCAGCUGUGAUGAGGAAUGAGAGCAGCGCCUCCUGGGGCUGUGGUGGUGUUCAGAGCACAUACUUUGGGUGGCGCCUGGCGCACAGGGAGCCCUAGUGAUGUUAGCUGCGCCUCGUGGUGCAUCUGGACUCCUCCAGAGAUCUGAUCCUGCAACCUCACCGCUUCUGUGGUCACACGCCAGCCUGGCCCCUCCAUGGAACAUGCCUUUGGAGCCGGCCCUGCUUCCCCAGGACUCCCAACUUCUUUCCCCCUUUUGCAGGUCCCUGGGAAUCUCUCUUCAUUGAGGGAGUUUCUCUUUCCCUGUCCGUCUGUGGCUUAUGCUCUUGAAAACAAAAGCCAGAAAGCAAUGCCUCAGGCUAACCCUGCGAGAGCCUGAGCCAGGACCAGAGUGGAAACCAAGGACACUGACCAACAGGUCAGCAUGGGCACAGGCGAAGAGGACCCCUUUCUUCUUUCCUUUGACCUUGGUCAUGCCAUUCUCGAUGACUGGGUCCGGUCUAGGCCCCAUGUUUUGGGAAGGGUGAGGAGAGCUGGGAGGGUCACUGAGGACCGCCCACAGGCAUGAUUACAGGGACGGGGACAAGGCACUCUGGACUGAGAUGAAAGGAGCGGUGGUUUGGCACUUUCAACUCUAGGGGAGUCAGCCGGAGGGUUCCGGUCAGUGAGGGGUGGCUGUGGAGAUGAGAUUACCCCCCUUGCUGGGCCAGCAGCUAGGGCUCCCGGGCUGAGGCCGGCACCGUCCCACCUCUGGUUGAGGCCAAGCUGGUGUGCGGCUGUGUCUGGCCAGCUUGCCUGGUCUGCGUCCCCAGCCACCCCAACCCCCACCCUUGCUCCCGGGAAACUACUUCUGCUGACCUCGGAUGAUUCCUGGAGGAAGGUCAAGGCAAGACCUGGCAGGCUGAGGGCUUUGGUCCUGGGCGAUCACACCUGGAGGUUGGCCCAGCUGUGUCACCUCCACCUGUGACAAGAGGGGACAGAGAAGCCUCCGGGAUGCCCCCCACACCUGGGACAUUCUCUUGCUGUCCCAUCACCUUUCCUUUCCUAUUUUGUCUUCUCUGUUCCUUUCACCUCGUACCAACUGGUACGUGACUUGGAAAUUCACAAAGCAGUGCACUUCUCUUCACCGUUUAUCAAUACCCAGAACCUGGUGAGGAGCCAGCACUCAGUUUCUCUCAAGGGGGCUUUAGUGAAGGGCUUUUUUCCCUGGCCCUCUGGCAGAGCUCACUAAUGGGGACCCCUACUCCUGACAUGCUCCCUAGCAUUGUCAAAACCAGUCCUGUCUUCGCUAUUUGCAGACAUCCCCAAAGGGGCGCUGAUAUCUGUUCUGGGGCAUUAAAUAAAAUAUGCUGUGAAGGUUAA